GAUAUUAUGGCUCCCUCCAAGAGCCUGCAGCAUUCCUAACCCAUCCUCUCCAUCUCUGCCUGCCUCUCCGUGUCACUGACUGAAACCUGAACCAGAGCCUGGUUUUUAGUGAUUGCUGUUCCCAGAACUCAGCAGGCUGAAGGGGGUGGAAGGGAGAUAAACAUAAGGGUUCAACAUCCAGACAAACACAGCAGAGCACACACAAUAAAUACAUCCACCCCCAAAUGCAAAUACACGAUAAAGGAUUCCUUCUCCAAGGCUCAGAGCAGAACAGGCUCAGACAGGAAGGCAUCAGAAUGAGGCUGUUUAUUUUGCUGGCUGUGCUCUAUAGUGGAGUAAGGAGCAACACUGUGCCACAGAAAAUGUAUGGGAGGAUCACAUCCCCAAACUUCCCAAAGGUCUAUCCAAAUCAUAAGGAGAAAAUAUGGAAUAUUACUGUCCCCAAAGGAUAUUCUGUCCGCAUUUACUUCACCCAUUUCAACCUGGAGUUGUCCUACCUGUGUGAAUAUGAUUAUGUGAAGCUGAGCUCUGGUGGGAAAACCUUGGCUAUGCUGUGCGGACAGGACAGUACAGACACUGAGGAGGCUCCGGGUAACAGGACGUACAUCUCUGUUGACAACCACCUCGUGGUAGUGUUUCGGUCUGAUUACUCCAAUGAGAAACCAUUCACAGGCUUUGAGGCCUUUUAUGCUGCUGAAGAUAUUGAUGAGUGCAAACAGCCAUUGGAUACUAAGUCCCUCUGUAGUCAUCACUGUCACAACUACAUGGGAGGCUACUAUUGCAGCUGCAGGGUUGGCUACAAACUGCAUGAAAACAAGAGGACAUGUACAGUUCAUAACUAGGGAAAGCUUCUGUGGUGUCCGGCGGUGAGGUGUCUGGAUCAACAUGGUAAUGAGCAUCUCAGGAUUCCCUUUCCAGUGAAACGUGCCUACAUGGGCAGGAGACAAUUAAGCGUCUCCUCACUUAGGCAGAGAUGGAGACAGAUGUGCUGGGAAGAGCUGGUUUCCUUCCUUCCUGACCUGCCUGUUACAGUCUGCCCGGGGCCUGCAGGCUUCUCUUGCUCCAUGACUUGUCCAUGUGGUUCCUUGCCUUUCAGACUUGCAGAUAAUAAAGAGGCUGUUGCCGGUUGAAAGCUGAA